rnacentral:rRNA from 1 species
GAUGAACGCUGGCGGCGUGCCUAAUACAUGCAAGUCGAGCGAACGGACGAGAAGCUUGCUUCCCUGAUGUUAGCGGCGGACGGGUGAGUAACACGUGGAUAACCUACCUAUAAGACUGGGAUAACUUCGGGAAACCGUAGCUAAUACCGGAUAAUAUUUUGAACCGCAUGGUUCAAAAGUGAAAGACGGUCUUGCUGUCACUUAUAGAUGGAUCCGCGCUGCAUUAGCUAGUUGGUAAGGUAACGGCUUACCAAGGCAACGAUGCAUAGCCGACCUGAGAGGGUGAUCGGCCACACUGGAACUGAGACACGGUCCAGACUCCUACGGGAGGCAGCAGUAGGGAAUCUUCCGCAAUGGGCGAAAGCCUGACGGAGCAACGCCGCGUGAGUGAUGAAGGUCUUCGGAUCGUAAAACUCUGUUAUUAGGGAAGAACAUAUGUGUAAGUAACUGUGCACAUCUUGACGGUACCUAAUCAGAAAGCCACGGCUAACUACGUG